rnacentral:rRNA from 1 species
GAUCUGGCUCAGGAUGAACGCUAGCUACAGGCUUAACACAUGCAAGUCGAGGGGCAGCAUCAUCAAAGCUUGCUUUGAUGGAUGGCGACCGGCGCACGGGUGAGUAACACGUAUCCAACCUGCCGACAACACUGGGAUAGCCUUUCGAAAGAAAGAUUAAUACCGGAUGGCAUAGUCUUCCCGCAUGGGAUGAUUAUUAAAGAAAUUCGGUUGUCGAUGGGGAUGCGUUCCA